rnacentral:RNase_P_RNA from 1 species
AGUGGGCUGGACAGCCGCGUCCGGAGGGGGAAACGCCCCCGGAUGAGGAAAGUCCGGGCUCCGCAGGGCAAGGAUAACGGGUAACGCCCGCCGAAGGCGACUUCAGGACAAGUGCAACAGAGAGAUACCGCCGGACUUCGGUCCGGUAAGGGUGGAAAGGUGAGGUAAGAGCUCACCGGCGGACUGGGAACAGCUCCGUCCUGUAAACUCUAUCCGGAGCAACACCGUGGAGGAACAACAGACCGGCCCGGUCGUUCCGAGGAGGUGGCUGGAGCCUGUCGGCAACGGCAGGUCGAGAUAGAUGGCUGUCAAAACAGAACCCGGCUUACAGGCCCGCUUG